CAGCCACAUCACGUUGAAACAACGCUUCCCAUACGAUCACCGAAGUUAAGCAACAUCGAGUUUGAUCAGUAUCUAGGUGGGUGACCCUUGGGGAUACCAGGA